UAACCUAUGUGCAAGGACUUCGUAAACUAAAAUUUCAAAUAUAGGCAGCUGAAUUUUCUACUUGUAAAAUAAAAUCCUUCACAAACUUUUUUUCGCAUGCAAAAUUUAACAGAGUUAUAAGUACUAGAGAUUAUUCACCCGCGCUGUAAGAAAUAUCAAUUGUCCAUCUUCUGCUGGCUUUUAGGAACCUGAAACUGGAGCCUGUAGGUAGACAUUAUGUUUGGUUUCAUUUUAAAAUAGUUAAUUGAAACUCAGCCACCACACCCUUAGCAACCCUAAUUACUAUUUUGCUUUUUCUUGUUUCAUCCAUUAGAGAGGGGUGAUUUCACCAUCCAUAACUUGUGCCAACUUCAAAUCACCAUAAGACAAGUCUUGAAAAAACAUAAGAUGCUUUGUUGAAGUUGCAUACACAACCAGCAGAGUUGGGCAAAUAUAGGCAAUGCUAAGCUCACUAGAACAAAAUCACCGUACUAAACACCAAUAUGAUACUUGAUAAACUGCACCUAUUAUCUUUUAGAAUAGCAGAAAACAAAAACAAAAUUCAAACAAACUAUUAAAAUAGAUAUUUAUCAACGAUUCAUUUUAAAUUAUUAAUCAUCUCUAAAACUCUAACAUUCAAAACGAUUCCGGGAAAGGAUAAAUCACACCUACAUCUUUGAUCUCCAACCAAACAACUCAAUGAAACCAAAACAGUUUCAAUUUUCAUUUCAACAAGCUAGCUAUUACCAUUUUAAAUUUUCACCAAAAUUGCUCACAAUCACCUCCCACAGACCGACAGCAACUCGGGUAGUUGAAUCACUAACAAGUCCGAUCUCUAGCCAAAACAAGAACAGACAAAGAGCUAAAAACUUCAAGCAUUUUAAGCCCAAUUCAAACAUUUUAUCAAAUAGCUUGUGCACAAUGAUGAUGAAUGCUCGUUGAUAGUGAGAAUACUAAAAUCAUUUAACCCCAAAUUUAGACCCUAAAUCAUUUAACCCCAAUUUAUAACCUAAAUCAUUUCACCCUAACCCUAAUUCACUUUUAAAGAAUGCUUACCUUAAGGAUAAACAGAGCUUCAGAUAACAAAUUGCAACGAGGAGAGUGAGAAAGAGAUCACAUUGCAGCGAGGAUAGCGAGAGAGAUCGCACGCAGUGAGUAGAGCGAGAGACAGAACAAGACACAUACAAGAAGGCGGCGGAGUGGAGAGAGACGACUUGGCGGCGACUGUGGCAGCUUGAAGAGGUUGCGCGGCGGAAAAAGCUACAAAGGGAAGAGGGAGCUACGGAAAUAGAAAAUAGGAAAAUGACAAAAAGAUAAUGUCCCACAAGUCACAUGUGGGAGGUUUCUCAAUUAGCAAAAUGACCAAUAUACCCCUUUGUGUUGUAUAUUUG
rnacentral:lncRNA from 1 species